rnacentral:rRNA from 1 species
UACGAAGGGGGCUAGCGUUGCUCGGAAUUACUGGGCGUAAAGCGCACGUAGGCGGAUUGUUAAGUCGGGGGUGAAAUCCUUGAGCUCAACUCCAGAACUGCCUUCGAUACUGGCGAUCUCGAGUUCGGGAGAGGUGAGUGGAACUGCGAGUGUAGAGGUGAAAUUCGUAGAUAUUCGCAAGAACACCAGUGGCGAAGGCGGCUCACUGGCCCGAUACUGACGCUGAGGUGCGAAAGCGUGGGGAGCAAACAGG